rnacentral:rRNA from 1 species
UACAGGGGGUGCAAACGUUGCUCGGAAUCAUUGGGCGUAAAGCGCACGUAGGCGGUCUGUUAUGUCGGAUGUGAAAGCCCUCGGCUCAACUGAGGAAGUGCAUCCGAAACUGGCAGGCUAGAGUACUAAAGAGGGUCGCGGAAUUCCCGGUGUAGAGGUGAAAUUCGUAGAUAUCGGGAGGAACACCGGUGGCGAAGGCGGCGACCUGGGUAGAUACUGACGCUGAGGUGCAAAAGCGUGGGGAGCAAACAGG